rnacentral:lncRNA from 1 species
CUACUCACAAGAAUAUGGAUGAAUCUACAAGCAUAAUGUUGAGUGAAGGAAGCUGGAUAUGAAAGGGGAAGUUGUAAAAUGGCAUUUAUUUAAAGUUGAAAGUUUGGGGAAACGACUUUAUGUGAUUAGACGUUGGGAUAGUGCUUGCCCCUGAGGGGUGCGGCUGGAUGGAGGCAUGAGAGGCCUGGAGAGCAUGGUCUAAUAAACAGAGAAGGCUCAGGAGGGUCAGAAACACGGUGCCUCAUUUCUCAGCCUACUUGCCAAGAAUUCCCAAAAAGGAAGCACUGGAGGAUCAUUCCAAGGCUUGAGGUCCAGGACUACCCACUUCCCUUGGAAUGGUGUUGCCAUCACUGUUCUGGCACCGGAGGUAAGGAUUCUACAUCGUUAGGAGAAAAGAAAAAGGAGAAUUUGGGCUUGCACUGAGAGGAUUACCUUUGGUGGUCUGGAAGUGGUGGUUCCUUGACUUUGGCCUUCAGUCCUGACUUAAUUUCUUUGCUUAUGGGUAAAACAAGGAAUUCCUGUCACACUGCCAACAUCACCCCCUUUCUUCUCACCCCAAGGAGAGUGCAGAGAGGAGGCGAGACCAAGCCUGCCCAGAGUUGGAGUCUUGAGACGUGAGAUUCUCCAGCUGGAGCCCUAUAAAUUGGACUGACAAAAGACAGAUUAGCAAGAGAAAUGCAAGCAGCAGUUUAUUAACAUGUGCAUCAUGAUUACACAUGGAAGUACCCAGAGGUCAUAAGACCUCAUGUGACAAGUGCCCUCCUUACUCCCAGAGAAAAGGAAGGAAGACACAGAAACACCACGAAGAAUAUGGACAAACAGACCUUGCUAAGUUCCCCCCCAUUUAUUACCAUGACAUCAUACUCCCUUUGUCCAAUCACACUUUCAUCAAACCUGAGCAUGAAAAUACACAGGUUUCUCUGUUUGGGGGGUGGGUCUUCAUUUUUGAAGUUUCCAUGUCAUGUAAAACUUAUAUUAAAGAAAUGUGUAUGUUUUACCCUUGUUAAUUU